rnacentral:rRNA from 1 species
CGCUCUUGACAAAACAUAAGAGGUCCAGCCUGCCCAGUGACAAAGUUCAACGGCCGCGGUACCCUAACCGUGCGAAGGUAGCAUAAUCACUUGUUCUUUAAAUGAGGACUCGUAUCAACGGCACUACGAGGGCUAUACUGUCUCCUUUUUCCAAUCAGUGAAACUGAUCUUCCCGUGAAGAAGCGGGAAUCAAAAUAUAAGACGAGAAGACCCCAUGGAGCUUUAAACUCUCUAUGCACCUCUGUGCCCCCUAUCAUAUGACACAAUAAUCCUGCAUACUAGUUUUAGGUUGGGGGGACCACGGAGUACAAAUUAACCUCCACAACAAACGGAUUAACACCCUUAUCCACGAGACACAACUCUAAGAAUUACUAAAUUAAUGCUUAUGACCCGAUAUUCGAUCAAUGAACCAAGUUACCCUGGGGAUAACAGCGCAAUCUACUUCAAGAGCCCAUAUCGACAAGUAGGUUUACGACCUCGAUGUUGGAUCAGGGUAUCCCGGUGGUGCAGCCGCUACCGACGGUUCGUUUGUUCAACGA